rnacentral:rRNA from 1 species
AGCGAACGCUGGCGGCGUGCUUAACACAUGCAAGCCGAGUGCGCGGCUCGUAGCAAUACGAGCUGGCGCACGGCGCACGGGUGCGUAACACGUGGGCAACAUGCCCUCCGAUGGGGAAUAACCCGCCGAAAGGACGGGCGUAAUACCGCAUACCACUUCCGGGAACCUCGGUUCCUGGCCUGAAAGACCCGCAAGGGCGUCGGUGGAGUGGCCCGCGGCCGAUUAGCUUGUUGGUGAGGUAACGGCGUCACCAAGGCAAUGAUCGGUAGCCGGUCUGAGAGGAUGAUCGGCCGACACUGGAACUGAGACACGGUCCAGACUCCUA